rnacentral:misc_RNA from 1 species
AGUGGGUUUUACACGUCCUCCUCUCAAUCAAUCUAUCCCCCACCCCCCCCCACAACCACCACCACCACCCCGUGCGCGAUGUCGGCCGAGUCACUGGUGCUCGCCCUGCUGCUCCUCGCCAUCUGCGGAGCGGUGAUGCUACGGUGGAUCUCGCAGCGCCACGCUGAUGAUAGCGGCGUCGGCGACAAGGCGCUGGCACACAAGGGCAGGCUUCGGUUGUCGCAGAACGCGUCAGGCUCCGCGGUGCGUCGACGUGGCAGUAAGGACGAGAAUGACAGCGACCAAGUGGGCGUGGACGACGGCAAUGGCGGCGCGGUUGGUCGGCGUCGCAGAGGCGCAGGCGGUGACCUGCGCCGUCGUCGGCCUCAGGAGCGCGGCGCCAAUCCCCACCAUGGCGGCAGCGACGGUGAUGAGAACAGCUACGACGAUGACGACACCGGCGGCAUCCCCGAGACAGACGCGAACGGAGUGAAGUUGACGCGGCUGCAGCGCAAAAAGCUCGCGAAGGAGCGCGAGCGUGAGGAGCGCCGACAGGCGCAAGAGGCCGCCCUCGAGGCACAACGGCAGCGCACGGAUGCCAAUGAAUUGCGCGACGCCGAGGCCGCGCGGCGCGAGGAGGAGCUCAAGGCUGCCGAGGAGGCGGCGCUGCAGCAGCUGCGCAGGGACAAGAAGAAGGCCGAAGAUGAAGAAUACGCUAAGUGGGUCUCGCAUAUUGGCGUAGAGGAGCGGGGCGAGCUCGGCGACGAGGAGCGAGAGCGGCAGACGCGCCUGCAAUCCUUCUUGCUAGACCGUGCGGCGCAGGUUCAGGCACGUGCGCAACGCUCCGCUGCCGGAGCGAAGAGUAGCCCGAGCGAGGAGGAGUGCAUCCAUGUGCUCAUACUGCAGACGGCGGCGCGCGACUUGAAGGUAUCCGUGGAGGAGCUCGUAAGCACCAUUGAGCAGCUCUCACAGGCGGACAAGGUGCACGGCGUGUUCGACGACCGUGGCAAGUAUGUCUUCAUCGCACCGGAGCAAUUCCCGCUGCUCGCGCAGUUCAUUCGGCUGCGCGGGCGCGUGUCGGUGCAGGAGUUCACGCGCGAGUGUAACCGAAUCGUCAUGCAGUCGUAGAGUCGCUGACUGAUGAUGCGUGGGUGCGGGGAAGGGUGGAUAGGCGGGGGAGGCAGACACAGAGAGGGAGGAGGGAGAGUUCGACGACUAGGCACGUGUCUUGCGCAACAAUAUUGGCUGCCGAGUCGUGUACCCUUGUCGAUGAUCAUGUGCGUUGCUGGCGUGAUUGUCUUAGGCGGCCUCUGCCGCCAUGUUCGUUCGCGGGCAGUAUGGGAUGAUCAGCAGCAUCGGCGAACCCUCUCCGCAGCCCCACCCCGCCUCUCUCUCCUCCGCCCCCACACAAACCCCGUCAGCUCCGCCUGGUGCGAAUCCUGCUGCUGGUGGUGCUUCGCACGUCGCUGGCGUCCGUCACGUUUGCAGAUGCUGCUGCUUGUCUCACACGAUGCUGUUGUGUGCCUUUUC